rnacentral:rRNA from 1 species
GAUGAACGCUGACAGAAUGCUUAACACAUGCAAGUCAACUUGAACUUCGGUAUGGGUGGCGGACGGGUGAGUAACGCGUAAAGAACUUGCCUCACAGCUAGGGACAACAUUUGGAAACGAAUGCUAAUACCUGAUAUUAUGAGUUUAGGGCAUCCUAGAAUUAUGAAUGCUAUAUGCGCUGUUAGAGAGCUUUGCGUCCCAUUAGCUAGUUGGAGAGGUAACGGCUCACCAAGGCGAUGAUGGGUAGCCGGCCUGAGAGGGUGACAGGCCACAAGGGGACUGAGAAACGGCCCUUACUCAUACGGGAGGCAGCAGUGGGGAAUUUUGGAAAAUGGACCACGAGUCUGAUCCAGCACUUCUGUGUGCACGAUGAAGUUUUUCGGAAUGUAAAGUGCUUUCAGUUGGGAAGAAAAAAAUGACGGUACCAACAGAAGAAGUGACGGCUAAAUACGUG